UAGGGAAUCUUCCGCAAUGGACGAAAGUCUGACGGAGCAACGCCGCGUGAGUGAAGAAGGAUUUCGGUUCGUAAAACUCUGUUGUUAGGGAAGAAAAAAUGUAUAGUAACUAUAUACAAAAGAGACGGUACCUAACCAGAAAGCCACGGCUAACUACGUGCCAGCAGCCGCGGUAAUACGUAGGUGGCAAGCGUUGUCCGGAAUUAUUGGGCGUAAAGCGCGCGCAGGUGGUUUAGAAAGUCUGAUGUGAAAGCCCACGGCUCAACCGUGGAGGGUCAUUGGAAAAUAAUAAACUUGAGUGCAGGAGAGAAAAGUGGAAUUCCUAGUGUAGCGGUGAAAUGCGUAGGGAUUAGGAGGAACACCGGUGGCGAAAGCGGCUUUUUGGCCUGCAACUGACACUGAGGCGCGAAAGCGUGGGGAGCAAACAGG
rnacentral:rRNA from 1 species